AGAGUGAACGCUGGCGGUAGGCCUAACACAUGCAAGUCGAACGGCAGCACAGUAGGAGCUUGCUCUUACGGGUGGCGAGUGGCGGACGGGUGAGGAAUACAUCGGAAUCUACCUUUUGGUGGGGGAUAACGUAGGGAAACUUACGCUAAUACCGCAUACGCCCUUCGGGGGAAAGCCGGGGACCAGCAAUGGCCUGGCGCUGAUAGAUGAGCCGAUGUCGGAUUAGCUAGUUGGUGAGGUAAUGGCUCACCAAGGCGACGAUCCGUAGCUGGUCUGAGAGGAUGAUCAGCCACACUGGAACUGAGACACGGUCCAGACUCCUACGGGAGGCAGCAGGUGGGGAAUAUUGGAACAAGUGGGGCGCAAGCCUGACUCC
rnacentral:rRNA from 1 species